rnacentral:misc_RNA from 1 species
UUACCUUAUAUAUACACUUAUGGCCUGCUGGCCUACUUACAAUAUACACUUAGCCUAGGUUACUGUUAGUAAGACUUUUUUUUUUUUUUUUUUUUUUUUUUUUUUUUUUUUUUUUUUUUUUUUUUUUUUUUUUUUUUUUUUUUUUUUUUUUUAUUUUUUUUUUUUUUUUUUUUUUUUUUCCUUUUUGUAGUCAAUAUUAUAUAAUUUAUCCUAAUUAAUUUGGUACACAUGUAAAAUUAUUUUGCACACGUUUUGUAAUAUGUAAUUAAUACUAUUUAAU